rnacentral:rRNA from 1 species
AGUGAACGCUGGCGGUAGGCCUAACACAUGCAAGUCGAACGGCAGCACAGUAAGAGCUUGCUCUUACGGGUGGCGAGUGGCGGACGGGUGAGGAAUACAUCGGAAUCUACUUUUUCGUGGGGGAUAACGUAGGGAAACUUACGCUAAUACCGCAUACGACCUACGGGUGAAAGCAGGGGAUCUUCGGACCUUGCGCGAUUGAAUGAGCCGAUGUCGGAUUAGCUAGUUGGCGGGGUAAAGGCCCGCCAAGGCGACGAUCCGCAGCUGGUCUGAGAGGAUGAUCAGCCACACUGGAACUGAGACACGGUCCAGACUCCUACGGGAGGCAGCAGUGGGGAAUAUUGGACAAUGGGCGCAAGCCUGAUCCAGCCAUACCGCGUGGGUGAAGAAGGCCUUCGGGUUGUAAAGCCCUUUUGUUGGGAAAGAAAAGCAGCAGGUUAAUACCCCGCUGUUCUGACGGUACCCAAAGAAUAAGCACCGGCUAACUUCGUG